rnacentral:tRNA from 1 species
GCGCAAUUGACCGGAAGCACCUGCGACAAGCGCUCGGCUUAGAACCGAGUAAUCACGCCUGACGCGCUCAUCGGCUGCGAGUGCCGUAUUGCGCACCA